AUUCUGGCUGGGAUUUCAGUUAGAUCUCUCUCAGCCUUGAGAAGCCUAGGAGGAGUUUUACUACAAUAGGAAAUCUUCAUAUAUAGACAUCUGUGCUCUUAGAAACAGCCUAGCUAAAUCUGGAGAGGCUCAUCACCUGGCUGGUGACAGAGGGAUGCAUUUUUUGGCCAUGGAAAUGGAAGAAAAUUAUCUGCUACGUUAUAGAGGAGAUUAUAAUUUAUUUCAGAGAGAGACCACCCAGAUCAAUGAACUUACCCACCAUUGAAGUAAUCAAAUUUUCUUUACUCGGUUCUGUCAUGUUUGAAAGAGGAGGAAACUGAGGCACAAAGCUGUUAAAUGACUUGCCCAAGGUAACACAGUAAAUUUGGAAUUAAAUUCAGGUCUUCCUGUGCCACAGAAUCAUCUCUAGAAGGCAAAGAUGGUAGUUCAUUUAAUGCCUCAUCUAAGGAAUUAAAAAAACCAAAGAUCUUGGAGCAAUGACAUUUUUGUUUGAUAUGUGAAUUACAGAACUGACAUACAAAAUAAGGGACAAAAUCACAGACUUAAGGCUGGAAGGAAAACUGGCUGUCCCUGGGUCCAACUACCUCAUUUUAAAGAUGAAGAAAAUGAAAGUCAAAGGUUAAGUGAUUUAUUGAAAAUCAUAUGAGUAAUUAGUUUAAGCCCAAAUCCUCUUACUAAAAACCUGAUGCUUCUCUCUACUACACCAUGAAGUUUUUCUGUCUCUCAAAGCAAAUCAAUAGUUUCUCCAUUUUACUGUUGCUUGGUCCAAUAAUGAUUAAUGGCAGUUUUUCUGGUAAAUAGUAGGAAAAACUCAAUGACUACUGAAAUAUGUACUUGUAGGAGAAAAAAGAUAGAAUCUCUUAAAUUCAACUGAAACUAGUUUCUUUCUGCAAACAAUGUGAUUAGCCAAAUAGAAAUACUUGCAAAAAUAAUUCAUUAGCAUAAUCACAACUUAUGCUAUAGUCCACUAGCUGAUUAAACUUUUAUAUGUUCUAAUUAUGGUAAUUUACAAAUACCCAGAAGCCAAAAAUUAUAGAUAAAUUAUAUUAAUUUUAAAGGGUGGUAAAUUAUGUAAAGAGUGACGAUAACUCAGAAACUAUAACAACAAAAUAAUAAUUCAUAUUUAUACAGCAUGUUACAGUCACAAAACGUUUUGCAUAGCACAGUGUGAUCCCAUAGAAGUCUCAACUCCUCCAAAUCUUAGUUCCUCAUCUCUCCAACAAAGGGCUUGGAUCAAAUGAUCUCUGAAGUUGCAUUCUAUUCAUAAUGAUUAAUAUGUGAACCAUCAUUUGAUUCUUUUUAAUGACUGAAGUAGAUAAUAUUAUUUUCUCCAUUUAAUAGAGGAGGAAAUGGGCUUUAUCAAGGUUAAUAGAUUUAGGAUAGCAGAUUUAUAAAUGGAAGAACAUAUAUAAUAACCAAUUAUUGAGCACCCCUCCAUGUGACAGGCACUGUACUAAGGGCUAGAGACACAAAAAAGGGCAAAAGACAGUCCCUGCCUUCAAAGAGCUCAUAAUUGAAUAGAGAGAGGAAAAGUCAUUGGUCACUUGACUAUUGUAUAAAUGGCAAAACUGAGGCUUAUGGAGGGGAAUAAGUUGCCCAACAUCAUUGUGAUAGUGAGUAGUAGAGCGUAGAUUUGAACCUAUAGAGGCCAGUUCAAAAUAAGUUAAAUGCCACAAGACAACAGUUCCAGUUCUAGGGAAAUUGGGAAGAAGAAGAGCUAAGAAAUAUGAGAGGGAACUGAAGAUGAUUCUUUUUCCUUAACUCUACUAGUACCUCUGUGGGAUGCUUUUGAUUAAACAUGACUACUACAUUAUAGAAUACAAUCAUAUAGUGCUUUUCAUUCUCGAGAUGUAUAAAAUGUUAGCUUUGAGUAGGUCAUUCAACCUAAAUCAAAAUAAAUGUCAUUGUCAUAUGACAUGUGACAUGACAAAUGACAUUGAGGCUCAUCUGACUCUUUGCAGCCCCAUUAGGGGUUUUCUUGGAAAAGAUACUGGAAGUAGUUUUCUAUUUCCUCUGUAGCUCAUUUUAUAGGUGAGGAAACUAAGGCAAACAGGAUUAAGAGAGUCACACAACUAGUAAAUAUGUUAGGUUGGAUUUGAACUCAGGAAGAUGAAUCUUCCUGACUCUAGGCCUGGCACUCUACCUAUUAUUCCACCUAGCUUCUCCCUAAUUAAUGUUAAUGAUGAAUAAUUAGAAAUUAUAAAUCCAUUAUGAUCCCUGAUUUAUUUAAAAAGAAAAUGAAGAUCCAGUUUUGAAUCUAAAAGAAAAUACCAAUUGAUGAAAAGGUUAAAAAUGACAUUGACAUUUCUUUGCCAUCUGGCAAUAACAACAAAUUCUGGCAGCAAGUUCAGAGACAAUUAAUAUGUUUUAAAAUGAGAUUCAUAGACUUUCUAUUAAUAACAGAACACCCAGGUGCAUGAACAAAUAGAGUUUAUGGCAGCCAAAUCAGGCAAUGCUGAAUAUGGGGUGUCUAAUAUGCAUUAAUUUUAUUUGAAAAUAAUUUUCAAAAAGUUCAGGAAAAAAGACAUGUAUAAUUUCAUGGCUUGAGAUGCUAAAAGGGAAAGUGUUUGGCUUAGGAAGGAAGAAUGAGUUUUGAGAUAAAACUCUAUAUAGUCACAGAUGAUUUUGAUUAGAAAGAAAUGGGGAACCACAUAAAAGAAUGCUUAAAAUCACAAAUAAUAAGAAAAAUGCCAAUCAAAACAGUUCUAAGGCUUGACCUCACACUCUGCAAAUUAACAAAGAUUUCAAAAAUUGGAUAUGGUCAAUGUGGGAGGAAUUAUGGAAAGAAAGGCACACUGCUGCAUUCAUUGUUGGUGAAGCUAUGAAUCAGUACAGCCAUUUUGGGAAACAAUUGGGAAUUUUACAAUUAAAAUGACUAAAAUAACCAAGAUUCUAUUACUCAGAAGAAUGUUCUUGUAUACACCAAAAUUAUGAUAGCAGCCCUUUUAUGAUCACAAAAUUUGGGAUAAAAGUAGAUGUCCAUUAGUUGGGUACUUAAACAAAAUGUACUAUAUAACUGCAUUGUCACAUUGCUGAGUUGCAAGAAAUUAUGAAUGGAAGAAUAGAGAAGCUUGGAAAGAUCUACCCAGAUUGAUCCAGAUCAAAGUAAACAAAGCUGAAGAAAGCAAUUUAAAUAAUGACUACAACAAGGUAAACAUGAUCAACACACACACACACAAAAUCAAAAGUGUAUUUUGUAAAACUGUAAAGAAUAAGUAUAGCCUGAAAGAAGAGCUAUGGAAAGACAUUCCUACCCUACCUCAGUGGGAAAUUUACAAGUACUGCACAUAUUUUUGAACUUUUUAAUGUAUUUCAUUAAUUUUUCUUAUUUUUACUUUUUCUUCAAGUUUUUACAAAUGUUAUUUCACAAUAUGUGAUAACUCUCUGGUAGAGGUAGAGGAAAACUGCUGAGGAAAACUACAGUGAUAUAAAAAUUAAUAAAAACUAAUUUAAAAAGAAGUAAACUCAGGAGAAAAAAGAAAUAGGGGAUAUCUCAAGACCCCAAUGGGACCACGGAAGAAAUUCUUCAAUGAGCUUAGAUUUUAAAGGGGUAGGUUCAAAUAUGCAACCAAGACAUAAAACAAUUUCCCUGAAAGCAAGGAAAAUUUAUUUUUUUUUUGUCUGUAUUCCCAGCAUGAUGCCUAGCACAUCAUCACAAUAAAUACAUGCUUGUGGAACUCUCCAGAAAUAUUGUAACAAUACCAAAUUAAUUAAUAAUGUUUCUAAUGCCAAGGAAACAGGAGUGAAUAAACUUCAAGAAAUCUCAUUUUAUUAUUUUCUAAGAACUCAUCAACUACUUGGCAUGGAAUCCUUUGCUUGCUAGGAGAGUUUAGUCACAAUCUGACAAGAUAGACAUACAUGAAGACAAGGUAAAAUAAUGGAGUUUUUUUUUAAUACAAGGAGAUUGGCAACUUGUUUUACUUGAAGGAGAUGUCACUGGAGAAUAUAUAACAGGUAAGCUAGCAGAAAGAAAAAAAUGAAAUUUAUACAAAUAUAAAAAUUAGGUAGUAGGAAGAAAAUAAUCAUAUUUAUGAGGUCAAUGAUGUUUUGGGCAAUGCGUGAAGCUUCUUUUUCCUUCCACAAAUAUUAUCUCAUUUGAUUCUCACAACAACCUUGCAAGUUAGGGGCUAUUAUUAACUGUUUUUUAUUGUCACAGAAACAAAAGCAAGCAUAGAUUAAGUGACUUGCCCAGGAUCACACAGCUACUAAGUGUCUGAGACUAUAUUUAAACCCAGAUCUUCCUGAUUCCAAUUCCAGCACUCUAUCCACUGUGCCAUCAGCUUCCUAAUAGAACAAGAAGAGAAUGGUAUAUAAUAUAUAAACAGAGAAGUAUAAUUAGAGCACUGUGGAGUUUGGAAAUAAUUAAUGCAUCCUUUUUUUUUUAACCCUUACCUUCUGUCUUAGAAUCAAUACUGUGUAUUAGCUCAAGGCAUCAGAGCCUUAAAGGCUAGGCAAUGAGGGUUAAGUGACUGGCUCAGGGUCACACAGCUAGGAUAUGUCUGAGGCCAGAUUUUAACCGAAGUCCUCCUUCUCCAUGCCUGGCUCCCAGUCCAUUGAGUCACUUGGUAUUUAAGUCAGGAUGCUCAAUGCUUGAUAUAUACAAAGUUUCAUUUUCUUUGGAGGAGGAGGCACUAAGCAGAGAAGAAAGAUCGGCUUCCCAUGUGAGUAUUUUAAAAAAUGGCAAAUUCAUGGAGAUAGUCACAUGCAUUUUUAAAGACAAAAGAAGAUGCUCAAGAAGAAUGAAGUAUCCUCAAAUAAAAAUCAUAUUCCCAAGAGAAUUAAUCUUCUUCCAAUGGCUAUUUCUUAUUAGGACAAAAGGUUAAGGAGAGCCAGCAUCAGUUUCCUAGAGCUGGUUCUUAAGGCCAGAAUUAUGCUUUGGUAAAUGAACCCCUCUUGGUUUUCCUUUAUAGUACUGUGGUCUCCCAAUUGCCUUAACCAUUUAAAGUUAUUGAGAUUCUGAUUCUUGGAUGUUUGCUUUGUAUACUAGUAUAGAGUUAAUGUUCUUGGAACUAGCCUGAAGGGUUUCUAAACUAGUGAGUUUCCAUGGUAACAGACUGAAUUAAUGAGUGAAAUCAUUUCACACAUUCCCAGUAACCCAGUGACCAAGGAAUAGGUAAAAAAAAAAAUGCUCCAAGUUAGGUUUGGGUUUUUUAGAAUCUUCCCAUUCAACAUUUAUUACAUAAGACUAUUGUACAUCAUUACAGUUGAUUUUUAAAUGUUCUUUUGCAAUGGCAUCAGCAUUUAUUCUGGGGAAUAAUAAGUGAACAGUUAUGUAUUUAUUUUUUGAUGUUCUCUAGGCUCCCUGACUCAUCCUUAUUUUUCCGCCCUAUUAUCACAUUCAUAUGCCUAAUCUGUUUUAGCAGUGGAAUGGUAUCUAAAGUAAGACAUCCACAGAUUACAUCUUAAUUCCAUUCUAAGAGCUAUACCAGAUGAGAAUACAAUGUGGCAAUCUGGAAUCCUUGGCUAAAAAAAAAAAUCAACAGAAUUUGGAAUGGUAAGGCUCUUUAAUGAAUGCUCUUCAACAAAGCCAGUAAAAUGACUCUGCCUUGUAAAAAGCAGGCACUUAAGAAAUGCUUGGAUGAGAUAGUAUUUUAAAAUGAACUCAUGCCCACAUGGGCAAGCUUUUUAUUAUGCUAAAUGAAGGAGCUUAAACUAUAACUGGAGCACUUAGGGGGAAAAAAAACAAACAAAACCAACUUUUAGACUGAGGAGAACUGAGUGUGAUGUAGGAAAAAGAGAGGUGAAUUUGGAACCAGAGGGCCUGGAUUUGAAUCCUGUCUCUGCUGCCUAACACUUCUUCCUUAUACCAGCCAGUCCAUCUUCCAUCUUGAUGCCUUUGCGUUAAUUGUUUCUAUUAUCUAGAAUUCCUUCCCUUUUCUCAUCUGCCUCCUGGAAAUCCCCAGGUGACCUUUAAGAUUCAGUUUAAAUGCAAUAUUUUAUAUAAAUCUUUUCUUUGUUGCCUGGGGCUGCUUAUAUCAUAUAUACUUAUAAAAUAAAUUUGUGUAAUAAUAUAAAAUUAAUAAAUAUGCAAAUAAUAUUUUCAAUGUCUUAUGUGUUUUUUUCAUUUUUCAGUUGUGUCUGACUUUUCCUAAACCCAUUUGGAGUUUUCUAGGCAAAAAGUGUGGUGACUUGCCAUUUUCUUCUCAAGGUCAUUUGACAGAAGAGAACUGAGGCAAAUAGGGUUAAAGGUCAUAAAUCAAGAAAAUAUCUUGGGCCAGAUUUGGACUCAGGUAAUAGUACUCUAUCCAGUGCAUUACCUAGCUGCCUAUCUCAUACAUACGUACAUACACACAUACACACACAUACACAUACUCAUUUAUCCCUUCCACAGCCCAACUUUCCCCAUUGCAUUUUUGCUAUAUUUUGUAUUUUCACAGUAUUGCAAAUGACACAUAAGAAGUUAGAAACUCAGGAAUAUAUAAAAUGUAUGCAUACUUUGAUAACAACAAAUUUUAUCUUUAAUACCAUAAAUAUACACAAUUUCCUUUUUAAUGUUAAAAUAAGUCAAAAGUUAAAGUUUGUGAAAAAAACAGCAAAGAUAGAUGACACACAAAGACUAGAAAUGUAGAGAUAUAGUAAAAAGUUUAGUAAUGUAUAAAUGCCUAUAAGGUACUAUAAAUACCCCAUAAAAGAAAAAGAAAAAAAAAUCAGACUUCUUAUGUGGUAUGAAGGAAGGGACAAAAAAUUUUUCUCAGAAUUUCCAGAUGGCUGGGUACCAUGCUCCUAAUCCACAGAUUUGAAGGGAUACCUAUAUUCUGAAUAUACUUAUAUAUUAUGCAGGCUCCUUUAUCACCAGAUAUUACUUUGCUUUGGUCUUUACCUCCCCAGAUCUUACUCUUAUGUCUGAGGCUGACUAAGUGGUAGAUAAAAGGUUUAUUGAUUAGUAUUUGAUUGAUUGACAAGUCAGAGUUUCUAAGUCUCAGGUUCCUCAUCAGUAAAAUGAAGGGCCAUUAGCUGGAUAGCGGAUGGAAGGAAUCUUGGGCCAGUUGGUCCAAACCUUUCAUUUUACAGCUAAGGCCCAGAGAAGUUCACUGACUUGGGGAGCCAGUGAGAGUCUUUAGGAAAAUAUUAAAAAUAUUGGAGCUAGAUCUAUGCUGUUAUGAUGGCACUAAUGAAGGGUAUGAAUGGGUUUUCUUUAAGGAUUUUAAAGGGAAAAGGACUUAUUUAUUCUUAUGGUUUUAAGCUACAACCAUACCCAGAGUUAUGAGAAUUACUUCUCUUGUUGUCACAUUUUUUUGAAGCUUCAUUAAAUUUCCACCAUUAGGGGACUAUUUGGUGAACUAGAAGUAUAGCAUUUACUAAACCAUCUUAGGUAGGACCUAAGAAUGCUAAGACACAUCUGUAAAGUCGACAAGUCUAGUCUGCUCACUUGCAACAUUGAGCCUGUGACAGCUAUUUCAAGAAAGCUAAUUAUUUCAUUUUAAAUUAGUCUUCCAACUAUAAUGAGUCUUGUGGGAAAAUAUACAAGUUAAUCUUCCUCUGUGACAAAAUAAAACUCUAAUCUCAAUAGAACACUCAAAAAUGUGAUGAUAACUUCAGUAUGAUGAUGAUGAUGAUGAUGAUGAUGAUGAUGAUUAUAGCCAGUUGUGGUGGAUUCCCAAGAAUCAAGAACUCAAAUUCUAAGCAAUGAGAAAUCCAUGUUUUAUAUAACAAUAAUGUUGAUGCUAUCUAAUUAUAGUAGCAUUUGUAAAGCACUUUAAGUUUUACAAAGCACUUUAUAAAUAUCACCUCAUUUGAUCCUUAAAACAGUCCUGGGAGAUAGUUGCUUCAUUUUUUCCAUUAUACAGAGGAAGAAACUGAGACACAUAGAGGUUAAGUGACUUGCCUAUGGUCAUAUAGCUAAUAAAUACAUGAGAUCACAUUUGAAUUCAAAUUUUCCUGAAUCUAUGCCCAGCUUUCUAGCUAUUAUACCAUAUCUUUAAAGUAAAAAAAAUGUAUGUUCCCCCUAUAAUUCUAUGAACGGAACAGUAUAGCUGUUCACUUAUUAGAUGUCAAACAAAGAAUGACUAUGAGAGCCAAGAUGUGUCCUAGGGUCAUGUAAAUCCAGGUCUGGUUUCUUCUUCCUCCACUUACCACAGAACUCAGAACUUCUCAAAUGAAAUACUUAUUUUAGGUGGAUAUUGCAAAAAUGUAAAAUUCCCUAAAAUAUUAAAAUCUCAAAUAAUUCAUAAUCUAAAGGAACUCUACUAAUAACAAAUAAUUGUGCUUGUGCUAGAGAUCAAUUUUAUUCAAGCAGUUACCCAACUUACAGUUAUUAUGGCAAAAUAUUGUUUUUCUAAAAACUUCACCCAGUUGUCUACAAGUUUCUUAGAUUGUGACCACAAUUUUUCUCUUAUUUGGAGGAUUAAUUAGUUUACUAGAAUUAAGAACAU